GUAUAAGAGACAGCAGUCGCCGCGGGAAUACGUAGGGUGCAAGCGUUAAUCGGAAUUACUGGGCGUAAAGGGUGCGUAGGCGGCCCCGCAAGUCUCAUGUGAAAUCUUCAGGCUCAACUUGAAGUCUGCAUGGGAAACUGCGGGGCUGGAGUAUGGGAGAGGUGAGUGGGAUUCCUGGUGUAGCGGUGAAAUGCGUAGAUAUCAGGAGGAACACCUGUGGCGAAAGCGGCUCACUGGACCAUAACUGACGCUGAGGCACGAAAGCUAGGGGAGCAAACAGGAUUAGAUACCCGCGUAGUCCCUGUCUCUUAUAC
rnacentral:rRNA from 1 species